rnacentral:rRNA from 1 species
AGAGUUUGAUCCUGGCUCAGCGCGAACGCUGGCGGCGUGCCUAACACAUGCAAGUCGUGCGGAGGGGUGAUGAGCCCCUCAGCGGCAAACGGGUGAGUAACACGUGAGUAACCUACCCUUGGGAAGGGGAUAACCCUCCGAAAGGAGGGCUAAUACCCUAUACUGCCGGGGACCACUAAGGUCUUCCGGUGAAAGGUGGCCCCUGCUCUGCAUGCUACCGCCCAAGGAGGGGCUCGCGGCCCAUCAGGUAGUUGGUGGGGUAACGGCCUACCAAGCCUAUGACGGGUAGCCGGCCUGAGAGGGUGGUCGGCCACAGUGGGACUGAGACACGGCCCACACCCCUACGGGGGGCAGCAGUGGGGAAUCGUGGGCAAUGGGCGAAAGCCUGACCCCGCGACGCCGCGUGGAGGAAGAACCCUUCGGGGUGUAAACUCCUGUCGGGGGGGACGAUGUGCCUUGGAAUGAAUAAUUCCAGGGCAUGACGGUACCCCCAGAGGAAGGACGCUAACUACGUNCCAGCAGCCGCGGUAAUACUUAGUCCCGAGCGUUGCGCGAAUUCACUGGGCGUAAAGGUCCGCAGCCGGACGGGUAAGCGGUGCGUCAAAGCCCACCGCUCAACGGUGGAACGGCGUACCGAACUGCCUGUCUUGAGGCACGCUUAGGCAGGCGGAAUUCCCGGUGUAGCGGUGAAAUGCGUAGAUAUCGGGAGGAACACCGAAGGCGAAGGCAGCCUGCUGGGUCUGUCCUGACGGUCAGGGACGAAAGCUGGGGGAGCAAACCGGAUUAGAUACCCGGGUAGUCCCAGCCGUAAACCAUGGGCGCUUGGCGUCGUCCUCGUGGCGGUGCCGCAGCUAACGCGGUAAGCGCCCCGCCUGGGAGUACGGGCGCAAGCCUGAAACUCAAAGGAAUUGGCGGGGGCCCGCACAACCGGUGGAGCGUCUGGUUCAAUUCGAUGCUAACCGAAAAACCUUACCCGGGUUUGACAUGGUGGGAAACCCUUGCGAAAGCGARGGGUGCCGUCCUCUGGACGGAAUUCCACCACAGGUGGUCCAUGGUCGUCGUCAGCUCGUGUCGUGAGAUGUUGGGUUAAGUCCCGCAACGAGCGCAACCCUUGUCCUGUGUUACCAGCGGGUAAUGCCGGGUACUCACAGGAGACUGCCGGCGAUAAGCCGGAGGAAGGAGGGGAUGACGUCAGAUCAUUAUGCCCUUUAUGCCCUGGGCUACACAGGCGCUACAGUGGCAGGGACAAUGGGCUGCAACGCUGCAAGGCGGAGCUAAUCCCAUAAACCCUGUCGUGGUGCAGAUUGAGGGUUGCAACUCACCCUCAUGAAGGCGGAAUCGGUAGUAAUGGCGAAUCAGCAAUGUCGCCGUGAAUACGUUCCCGGGUCUUGUACACACCGCCCGUCACGCCAUGGGAGUCGGGUUCAUCGGAAGUCCCCGGGCUAACCUACAAAGGAGGCAGGGGCCGAUGAUGGGCCUGAUGACUGGGGCGA